UACAGAGGGGGCAAGCGUUGUUCGGAAUUACUGGGCGUAAAGGGCGCGUAGGCGGCCUGCUAAGUCGGACGUGAAAUCCCUCGGCUCAACCGGGGGAACUGCGUCCGAUACUGGUGGGCUCGAAUCCGGGAGAGGGAUGUGGAAUUCCAGGUGUAGCGGUGAAAUGCGUAGAUAUCGGAAGGAACACCAGUGGCGAAAGCGGCUUCCUGGUCCAGCACCGACGUCAGGCACGAAAGCGUGGGGAGCAACAGG
rnacentral:rRNA from 1 species